CCAGAGCUCAUCCAUUCUCUUAUCGGGCAUUGUCUGUCGGUGAUUAGUUCUCUUGCAUCACUCAUUUAUUUCGGCGAUCUCUUCUCAUGUAUCGUCGUCUAGUGGUGACUAGUUCUCUUGCUUUACUCAUGUAUUUCGAUGGUGUUUUUUUAUUCUUUAUUUAUCGAACCCUGACUACAUCAUAGAAACAAAACUCCGAUGGCUUCAUCAACUAUAAUAUGUGAAACCCAGCCAUGAAAGGACUUGAAGUCUCACGUUGAGAAAAUUAAAAAGACUCAUUUACGAGAUCUGUUGAGCGACGCUGACCGAUGCAUGUCAACGAUCCUGUGGCCCAUCUCAAGGAAAAGAUUGAUCGCAUGCUCAAUGGGAAGCAUGCGAGUUUGAUUUUAUUUCUGCAAUCUAUUUCAUAUUUACGUUUAUGAGAAAUUGGCGUACAAUAUUUUUUUUUUCCGUGAAGAAAUUCGUUGUCCUUUAUGAAUAUCUGAGGUGUGCUCCUAGAUUUUUUCUUUAUAAUGCCUUAACAGUCCCUUUUGUUAGAGCAAAGGGACAUUACAUGUCCAACUCUCUUGAUUUUACUUGUUAAUAAUCAUAUCACUGAUGUUUGCAAUUUUUUUUUAUUUUUGUAUUUUUUUGACAAUAGGGCUGGAUUCUUUAUUGGAGACGGAGCUGGUGUGGGUAAAGGUAGAACAAUUGCGGGCUUGAUAUGGGAAAGCUGGCACCAUACGAGGAGGAAAGCAUUUUCUUACACAGGUGGAUUUCUGUUGGUUCAGACUAGAAGUUGUUCGAUGCAAGAAGAGACCUGGAUGAUGUCACGCACAUAUUGAAGGUAAAUUCUCAAUUCCUUGCUAGCUUAUGUGAUGAUUUUAUGCAAUAACAAUAUUCUGUUUUAGCUAUUCGACAGAUGGGACUAAUGAUUGAAGUAACAUACUAUUUGAAAUCAGAAUUAUUUGUUCAACAUUGAGUGUGGUGUGGUUUGCUUUAAUGUGUUGAGUUAUCGGAAUUUGGAAAACGAGAGCUUAGGGACCUGAGAGGAUAUUUGUCUUGCUUUGGUGGUAGAAUAAAUGUUUUGUUAAUUAAAUCUUCUGCAAUAUUUUUAUAUGGAUUAGAGGAGCAAAUGCGUAAACGUCAGAUGUGAGUAUACAGCAAAUAUAUUAGGAAAUAUAUUUAGGUUUAGUUUUUCUUUUAUCGUCGCAUUAUUUUUGCUGUUGUUAUUUUUCACAUUAGCUUUUAUUUGUGCUGAAGAGCACUUUUGGCCUUGCCUUGUUUGGAUAUUUCUGAGUAGUGAUCAUCUCAUUGUACAGCGUUUGCAUGCAUGCAAAUGUUUUAUUCUAUUUGUAAAAGCAUAGUAAAGUAGAUAGAGAAGUUUCUCUUAAUAAUCAUUGAAGAGAAACUAUGUUGCAUACAUGUAUUGUGUAUCACAGGGGGUGGAGCUGACAAGAGAUAUUGAUAUGCCUUUCCUUUUCCUUUCCUAUCCUUUUGUUUUGAGAGAAGGGGUAAAGGGGAUCGAUAUUUCCAUCGGCAUUGGUGGCAGCUUCCUAGGUCCUCUUUUUGUGCACACUGCUCUUCAAACAAGUUUUCUGAUGCUUUACUAAAGUUGCAUCGUUCUGUUUUGGUGUCUUAUUCUCAUUGGAUUUUGAUUCUUUUUCAUAAUACAAUUUUUUGACUUUGUUUUACGGCAGAAGCUUGCUUAAAUUAUAGUUGUUUACGAAUGCAAUCAGAUCCAGAGGCUAGCAAAUGUGCUGUAGAACGCCAACAGCGAUUGUAAGCAAUUCCAUGUCACUAUAACUUCAAAAAUCUUUGUUUUUUGUGCUAGUGUUUUACAAGUCUCUCAUCCCACACUCACAGAGGUAGGCUUAUUCAAAUUGUUUUAGCAAGGUCCACUUGCUUUGAGCAGUGAUUACUGAGCUUGUGUGAUAAAUUUUAGAACUUAUUGUAUCCCACCUUAAUUAUGGAAGAGGAGCUCUAAGCCGUUCAUGUUUGAAAUUUUACCCGGGAUUCAGAGAAACUAUGUUGCAUACAGAUAUUGUGUAUCACAAGGGAUGGAGCUGGCAAGAGAUAUUGAUAUGCCUUUUUUUUUCCUUUCAUAUCCUUUUUUUUUCAGAGAAGGGCUAAAAGAGAACAUCCAAAUGCUAGUUGUAUCCUAAAAGUGGCAUUUUUUUUACAUAGUGUAUUUCAGGGGAACAGUGCAUCAUUUAACAUGUUGCCCCUGAGUUAGAAGUACACGUUAUGACUGACUUCUAGAAGUGGUGUUAACAUACAGUGGGCAUGUUUCAUGUGUGGACAGGUAAUCAUAGGUGCAUUCAUGGUUCAAGGGGUCAUUUUGAAUACAUUUAUAUGCCUUGCAAUUGCUCUGUCUCUCUUUCUGUGACUAUAACGUGUGACCAUUCUGUCACUUAUUUUUAGACCCUCUGCAGUUGCCAAGCAUGUGGUCGCAGUUAGCAUUAAUCUUGUGGUAUAACGAAUUCAUUUUGUCUGCACUCUCAUAUUCUUUAGACUUUGGGAUAAUUGAAGUUCUAUGGUAUUUCAAAAUUCAUUUUCGCUCCUCCCUUUUUAGUGUUUUCUAUUCAUGGCUUUUCAUUCUUCUUUUCAUCUUUCAAAGAUGCCUUUUUUUUUUAUUUAACCACUCUGGCUACUUGUAUACUCCAACUGUCUUUUACCAAUGCAGUUUGGGGAAAAGUUUGGCAUCGAUCCUAUUAAUGCUUUUGCAUUCUGGGACUAGGUUGGUGGCAGAUUUAGUGGUGGGUUUGCUCUCAUUUUGUGGACAGAAACAUGGAGAACUUCAUGCAGAAUCCUAAUUGUGUUGUUGGUGUGUUGCCUUUGUUCUCCAAUAUGGUUUCUCAAAUUGCUGGGAAUUAUGGUAACUUCUGAUCGUUUUAAUUUACAAAGUUAGGUUUCUCUUGCACCGUUAUUUUAGAGGCUGCAAGAAACAAUGUCAAAAGUGGCAAGAGUUCUCAAUCUCUAGCAUAGAAAGAUGUAUAACAUACAAUUAAUCACUUUUUUGCCAUGAAGUGUUCAAAGAGUUUUGCUUCGUUGAUUCCCUCGAUAUCUACUUUAGUUUCCUACUCAUCCCCUUGUUACUUGCUUAUAAUGUGUUUGCUAUUUUGUUAGGAUUUGUUGAUAACAUGAGUUUUUGAUGUGUUUUAUGAGAUUCUAGUUACAUAUUGAUAACAUUUUGACUUUCUCCUUCAGGUACUUUUAGGUCUGUUAAGUGUGUGAAAUGUUUUAUUUUUUGGAUAUCCUGCAGGAGUGACUACUUCUCCCCAAGAUCUAUUUGAGUUGCGACCAAUUUUUAGAAUUCUUAACAACUGUAACUUUAUGAGUGGUCCUAUAACUCAUUCUACAACUCCUUUAGACUAUAUUACCUUAUUCUAAAGCCGUGAAGAAAUUUGCACCUCACAUUCAACAAGCAAGCCUACUUGAACUCUAACUCUCUUUCCUUUGGUAUUGAAUAUGUAAUAAAAAGGAGAGAAAAUGUGCCUUUUAAAGUUUUCAAUGCUCGUUUAUUUUACUUAAAUCUAGGUCAGCAUGGAAAGUAAUGGUAAUGGGCAUCGAUUGAUGGUGUACCACUUCUCUUUGAGACUGGAAAAAUUGAAUUUGGCAAACCAGGAGCAAAUAGCCGUCAUAGCUUUUAUCAACUAAUUCACCAGGUCUGGAUGGAAAGUAAUGACAAUGGAGCAUCUAUUGAUGAUGUAUUACUUCCCUUUGAGACUGGAGAAAUUGAAUUGAAUUUGGCAAACCAGGAGUAAAUGGUCGACAUAGCUUUUAUCAAAUAAUUCACCAGGUAAUUUCUUAUUUCAUUAUACAUUUGGUUGAAGUAAAAUUAGGUCAUUGUAUAUGUAUUUUGAUUUUAAAAAAUCAAUUUUGGAAUUCAAAUGAUUCCCUGGCUACCUAAAUUCAUUUUUUAAAGAAAUCUAUGCAUACUUCGUCUAAGUGGGAUAAGGAUACAUUUAUUCACUUCUUGAUGUUUUUAUUCAAAAUUUGCCCUUGUUUUCCCCCACAUACCCUGUUUUGGUAAACCUGAUAAUUUUGAUACUCAUGGUGCACAUGCAACUCGACAACAUGUCUUUUUUUUACGGAGCAAGAAGUGUAGUUUUGCAUUUUGGAUGGUUUCUAAUUGAACAUUAGCAUAUUCUCUCCUAAUAUGCGUGUCAUUAGCUUUAGUUCUCAUUUGUUGUAUACUAACCUCGGUGUUCGCACUUCACAGUGAGGCCCAUUUAUAUUUUUUUUUUUGUAGAAAAGAUAAUGUUUAGGUAUUGAAAUGGAGUUAAAAAAUAACAUAAAAAAUUGUUCAUGGUAAAUGUGUAACAAAGCUAGUUAAGAUUAAACCAACAUGAAAUAUCUUGCAAAACCUGCGAUCCAAAUUAUAUGACUGGAACAAUCCGAUAAAAACAUAAAAAGUUAUUAGACCUGAAAUACUCAAUCUAGAAAAACCAUGAAAUUUAAUUUUCAUUAAAUUAAAUAUUAAAUGAUGAAAAUAAUUGAAAAAUAGCAAUUCAAAAAAUAAGAAUCAAAAUUAUCAUUACUACUAUUAUUAAUAAGUAAUAUCAUCACUAUUACUACAAUUAUCAUCAUCAUUAUCAUUACUAUUAUUAAAAUUUUUCUUGUUGUUGUUAUUGUUAUUAUUAUCAUCGCUAUCACUAUUGCUAUUAUUAUUACAAGUAGUAUUAUAAGUAUCAUUAUUAUUAAUAAUAUUGUUACU